UAAUUGCGCGUCAACUUGUGAACUGCAGGACACAUGAACAUCGACAUUUCGAACGCACAUUGCGGUCCUGGGAUCUCAUACCCGGACCACUCCUGGCUGAGGGUCGUAUCUCAUUUGAAGAUUGCUCGGAUUUUCAUCGAUCUUCGCGAUCGACGAGAAACGUCUGAGCGUGCUGAGCGUAUAAGCGCGAUUCGAUCGCGGCGUUCUAAAACGUGACAGCGGACCCGUACGUGUGACCUAACUCUCUCGUAUGGGUCGUACGAAUAUGAAAGGGAUGAGACGUGUUUAAACGGUCAUUUGCACGUUCUUGUGAUAAACGUAGCGCGCACCAUUAAUACGAUCGUCGUAUCCGAUAAAAUUAGUUUUUAAUCGACGUCGGAUCGUAGGUGCGUUGCCUCUCGAAUACGAGGGAGAAAACGCCGUUUUUCGACGGCGCGUCUUUUCCAUUCUAAACUUUUAUAUUUCGUAUUAGCUCCUAAUCAUCAUUAUUAUGAUGAUUACGAGCGCCACGCAUAUUAAACUAGCGACCUCAGAGCAGGUGAGACUA
rnacentral:rRNA from 1 species